AUGCCUAUACUAGGUUAUGUUAAAAUAUGUGAGAGCCAUGAGCUUCAUGGCCCAUGUAUGAGUGCUCAGGGUAUCCACAAACGGUCCUUUGGUCCGAAGCUGAUACAUGAACCAUUUGUACAAAAAUGGCACACAACACACCACAACUCCUUUCUUACCAUACCUGAAAUGGAUAGCAAAGUAAGUGCUUUCCAGGAUAGUCGGUACCAGAUUCAGAUUCAUGAACAUGCAAAUAGCUGCCAGAUCUACCAACUUCUCAACAUCAGGAAAAAUAAUUAG